CUCAUAAUUGACCAGAAAACUACUUUCCUUUUUUCUAUGUCUUCCAUGCUAGAUGACUUUCCUGAAACUCACUUUUCCUGAAAUUUUAGGCAAAUGUACCCUAAAAUGCAUUCAAAGCCCAGGAGCCUGGAGUGGAGGCUGGACUUCUUAUACCAAGGAGAUGAGCACAAUUCAGGAUUGAGGGUACUCAACACAAAACAAAAGGAGGUAAGCUUGCAAAAUGCAGGUCAAAUUAAUGGACCAUGAGCUGGAUCAAGAACUGGAUGAAUGGCACAGAUCAGAGUGUCACAAUCAGUGGAGUAGAAUCCAGUUGGAGGCUUGUAGUCAGUGGCGUUCCUCAAGGACCAAUAUUGGGUUCAGUCUUACUCAACUUGUUAAUCAAUUACCUGGAUGAAGAUAGAAUGCAUCCUUAACAAGUUUGCCAAUCAUAUCAAACUAAGAGGAGUGGCUGAUACACCUGAGGGCUGUGCUGUCAUUCAGUGGGGCCUUGAUAGCAUUGGCUGAGAAGAAACCUAAUGAAGUUCAACAAAACAAUACUGACUGCCUGUCAGAGUGAACCCUCCAGAUUCCUGUGUGUUGGUAUCCAUGGGCUCUUUCUUGCCAAGCUGCCAGUCUGGAGCGUCACACCUUACUGCCUUUAAAGAUUGCCCUGCAGAGAUAGAGGAAAAUGGCAAUUUUUACAUGAUGCAGUCUGGCAGCCCAGGAGAUUUGAAGUCAAAACUGGUGCCAAGAUUUACCCAGGAGAGCAAGCAGAGGCGAAAAAGAGAAUGUGGGCCAAAGGGAAAAUAAUAAAGCAAAGGAAGAGGGAAGUAAAAGGCAGGAAAGCACAGCAGAGUGGGAGCAGGUUUUUUUGAUCAAGCAUGGAACACAAGGCUAAAUAUUGGACACUACAUGUUGUUUGCAUGCAUUUGUUGAGAGGGUCAGGGUCCUAAAGAAAGUCAAAAGGAAGAGGUCGGCUUUUUUUGCAUGGCCCAAAUUGUAGUAGAUUGCAGAAUGUAAAUGAGACAAUUAUUACACCAAUGCUCAUCAAGCUGUGCUGGAAAGACUUCAAUAGCCUGAUGAAUAUGCAUGCAAAUUUGUUAAUUAAGUUAAUUAUUCUGCUGAAAAUUCAUUUGUCUUCCAAGGACAUUUUCCCAAUGAUUCUAACAUGCUUGUGCCAUUAGUCAUGCUCCAUGCUAUUUAACAUUACUUUUUGUCCACUUUUUCUUUCCCUCUUUUUCGUCUUGCUUUACUGUUCUAUUCCAUUUCUGUUGUUGUUGCUUUUUCUGUUUUGAUUUGCUUUUCUUAUUAAAGCUUUAAAACCAGA